rnacentral:rRNA from 1 species
GGAUUCUACCAUUGGUCGGGCAAUAGUCUGUACUGGUGUGUAGAAUUUCUACCUUCUGGGGAACUAUCAUGUUAUUUAUUUAGCGUGGUAGGAAACCAGGACCUUUACCUUGAAAAAAUUAGAGUGUUUAAAGCAGGCUCACGCUUGAAUACAUUAGCAUGGAAUAAUAGAAUAGGACUU